UACAUGGGGUGCAAACGUUGCUCGGAAUUAUUGGGCGUAAAGCGCACGUAGGUGGUUUGUUAAGUCGGAUGUGAAAUCCCUCGGCUCAACUGAGGAAGUGCAUCCGAAACUGGCAGGCUUGAGUACUAAAGAGGGUCGCGGAAUUCCCGGUGUAGAGGUGAAAUUCGUAGAUAUCGGGAGGAACACCGGUGGCGAAGGCGGCGACCUGGGUAGAUACUGACGCUGAGGUGCGAAAGCGUGGGGAGCAAACAGG
rnacentral:rRNA from 1 species